UAGCCACGUAAUGUUUCACACCUGUAUUAUUAAACCCGUUUAUUCUUCAAAACGUGAUGGUCACAUGCAUCUACUGCCCAUUGGGAAUGGUUCUUGACUCACACUAACUUCCAAACUGUGCCCAGGAAUUGUUUGGGAAAGUGCUAGCUGGCAUGCUUUUAGCCCCUGCCAAGGUUCCCUAAACGUAAUUCAUCUUUGAAGAGAGGAACAGCAUAGAAAAUCUUGGCCUAAGAAGUACAUAUUUGGAGAAGUAACAGGGUAAGCAUGAGCAGUUUUCUUAAAGUUUAUAGUCCCGUUCUAGUAAACGAGGCCUGUUAUGAGCAGCCACUGCGCCAGUGAGGAGGAGAGCUCUGGUGAUGCUGGAAGGAGAAAUCACAGUGGAUCUAAAAGCUCCUAAAGCGCCCUGCUAGCCCCAAACACGCUACCGGGGAGUCGCCUCGCCUCCUCCCUCAAACCAGGCUGCAACACCGGCCCGCCUGCUGAGUGGAACUUGCCCAUGCAGGAGAAAGGAGAAAGGUGCCCUCAAGAUUUUACCUCACGUUCACCUCUUUUAAUUCAUAGAUCACCUCCUGGUUCUUUCUAAUGACUUCUUAUAGCUCUCAUUUUGAAAUUUUGUCAUUAAUUUUACAGCGAAUAAUUAACAAUAUGUAAGUAGGCUUCCCCUCCCCGAGUAAUGGAACAGUCCGCCGGGUUCCUCGGCGCCGACGUUCAACUUUUAACUCCUUUUCUGCCAAAUCCUAACCUCUCUCCGUAGAAUGUUAUUUCUUUCAGAAACUUGGACCCUGCCUCGAGCUCUGCCACACUUAAACACCACAGACAGGUCAGGGUUGUAAGAACUGUCUCAUACGGACAAGUGUGAAAUGGGGGAAACGACUACCGACUCUCAAGAUGGACUUAAAUGCCGUCAGUUUUCUAGUGAAAAACUUUGUAGACCCUGCACGGCACCUACCUGCCACCCCAGGUCAGCAAUCUCCUCACCCGUUGAGGACAUGCAUUGCCGUCAGUCAGUAGAGAGCGGUUGCACCUCUCAGGUGAGCUAAGUCUCCUUUCAGAAACAACUUUUUUUUUUCUCUUGAGCAAUAACUGGAGACAUGGAGGUGUCCUGACUUCAGACCUGGGGUCCUGAGCUGCAUUUCGGAGUGUAAGCACUCAAGUGUCUAUGGUAAGAUGGUAUGGAUUUUGAUAUACAGUCUUUCCCAAUUGCAGUUGCUGGGGAAUUAAAGAAAAUUGUAGUAAACAUACUAAUUUUUUUAAAUGAUGUAAUGUGAGGGGUCAUUUAGAUCAAAUUUUUGUUUCUUCAACUAUUCCUCCAUUUCUGUAUUCCUCCUUCUCCUCAAGUUCAAGUUGCAAUUCAAUCCCUCAAAAAGCUUCAGUUAUCCCAAAUAAAAGCAUGUAAAAAACCUGU